rnacentral:tRNA from 1 species
GGGGAUGUAGCUCAGUCGGUCAGAGCAGCGAACUCAUAAUUCGUCGGUCCAGGGUUCAAGUCCCUGCGUCCCCA